ACGGGGGGUGCAAGCGUUGUCCGGAAUCAUUGGGCGUAAAGAGUUCGUAGGCGGCAUGUCAAGUCUGGUGUUAAAUCCUGAGGCUCAACUUCAGUUCAGCACUGGAUACUGGCAAGCUAGAAUGCGGUAGAGGUAAAGGGAAUUCCUGGUGUAGCGGUGAAAUGCGUAGAUAUCAGGAAGAACACCGGUGGCGUAAGCGCUUUACUGGGCCGUUAUUGACGCUGAGGAACGAAAGCCGGGGGAGCGAAUGGGAUUAGAUACCCCAGUAGUCCCGGCCGUAAACGAUGGAUACUAGGUGUUGUGGGUAUCGACCCCUACAGUGCCGUAGCUAACGCGAUAAGUAUCCCGCCUGGGGAGUACGGCCGCAAGGUUA
rnacentral:rRNA from 1 species